UACGAAGGGGGCUAGCGUUGCUCGGAAUUACUGGGCGUAAAGCGCACGUAGGCGGCUCUUUAAGUCGGAGGUGAAAUCCUGGAGCUCAACUCCAGAACUGCCUUCGAUACUGAAGAGCUCGAGUCCGGGAGAGGUGAGUGGAACUGCGAGUGUAGAGGUGUAAUUCGUAGAUAUUCGCAAGAACACCAGUGGCGAAGGCGGCUCACUGGCCCGGUACUGACGCUGAGGUGCGAAAGCGUGGGGAGCAAACAGG
rnacentral:rRNA from 1 species